ACGACCACCCACGGGAGUCCGCGGCAGCGGGCUGAGAGGGAGCUGCAGCCGCUCCGACCGUCACACCUGAUCCGGAUCAUGCCGGCGAAGGAACGGACGAUGAUGACUGCC
rfam:Nocardioides sp. Root614 contig_1, whole genome shotgun sequence.